UAUGUUGGUGUAUAAGCACAAAAAGUUUUGAUCUUUUAAGACAGGUGUAACUCCUGACCAUAU
rnacentral:tRNA from 1 species